rnacentral:rRNA from 1 species
GAUGAACGCUGGCGGCGUGCCUAAUACAUGCAAGUCGAGCGGACAGAUGCUGCUCUUGCUCCUCUCACGUUAGCCGCACGCGUGUGUGUAACGCGUGGAUCACGUCCCUAUAAUUCUGGUAUCACCUCGGAACACCGGCGCUAAUCCCGGAUAAUCUCUUGAUCCGCAUGGUUCAUUAGAGAAAGACGGCUUUGCUGUCACUUCUAGAUGCAUCCGCGCCGCAUUAGAUAGUUGGUAAGUUAACGGCUUUCCAAGGCGACGAUGCGUAGCCGACCUGCGAGGGUGAUAGGCCACACUGGAACUGAGACACGGUCCAGACUACUACGGGAGGGAGCAGUAGGGAAUCGGACGCAAUGGUCGAAAGCCUGACGGAGCAAGGCCGAGUGAGUGAUGAAGGCCUUCGGAGCGUAAAACUCGGCUAUUAGGGAAGAACAAAUGUGUAAGGAACUAUGCACGUCGUGACGGUACUUAAUCAGAAAGCCACGGCUAACUACGUG